AAAAAGCAUAGAUAUAACUGUAGUAAGUGACAGAAUUUUAAAAAAUCACUGUGAACAUUCCAGAAAGUUCUCAGAAGGUUCGCAGAAAUUACCAGUAAAGUUAAACUCUAAUUUCUGGCUUCAAUGUCAUUCAUUCAAUAAAUAUUUACUGAGUGGCCCUGGGACAUAGCAGUAAAGAGGACAGACAAUAUUCCAGCCUCAUGAAAUUUACUUUCUGUGAUGGGGAAAAAACAUGUAAACAAACCAAUAUGCAACAUAAAUUCAGGUGUUAUGAAGUACUAUAAAGAAAAUUAAGGAAAAGGAUGUAACGGGUGUGGGUGGUAUUUUAGGAGAUGAUUUAGUGUUCUAUAUUAAAUUUCCUACACAUAGCAUGCAAUAAAUGUUAUAAUAAAUAUAACCGCAGAUAUAUCUUAGGCAUGCUACUAAGAGGACAGGAUUUUCAUGUAGUUCCAUAAUAAAUCAAACUGAAUACAUUUAUGUAAAUCAUAACAAGCUUAUAUAUGGACCAAUGAAACUUACCCUAUAGAAAGCACUGGUCAAAGGGAGUAAUGCUGCGGCAAUGUUGUAUUCUUCUAAACUUGAACAAUCCUUUAAGCAAAACAAAGACAAAAGAGCAUUAGGAUAUUUACCAGAAAUCACAAAUACAUGCGAACUAACAUCUGGGAUACACUGUUUACUGUCCUAUGGGGUUUUUACCUUUUUAUUUUGCAGAGGACCUGACGGAGGGGUUUGUACUCUUAUUCCAAAUUGCCAUUAAGACAUAGCUAGGUCAUUCCCUGAAAGGAGAAGUAAAUCAAAGAAUGACAGAAGAAAAUAAUGUCCACAUGGAUGAAGCUUGUUGAGUGACAGCUUCAUUAUAGUAUGCCCUGGGAGAGCUGUUCUACUGAAAAACGUCAACCUCCACAUCUUUAAUAAAGUAUUUUUCUCUUUGGCUGGUCACAUUUCUCAGAGAACAGUUUUACAAUCUCUUGCCUGGAAGGCAGGCUGCCAGAGUCCUGGAAGCUAAAGGGGGAAAGCCCACUGGCAUUCUCAAUAUUUGGCAUUCACACAACCUCCUUGUUUGCAGCAAGACAGAAUUUCCCUCAACCAGACCUAGUAUCUUCCAGGCCAAUGACAGCCUCUCUCUCAUAAAAAUAAAU
rnacentral:lncRNA from 1 species